rnacentral:rRNA from 1 species
CCUACGGGAGGCAGCAGUGAGGAAUAUUGGUCAAUGGGCGCUAGCCUGAACCAGCCAAGUAGCGUGAGGGACGACGGCCCUAGUGGUUGUAAACCUCUUUUUCACGGGGAUAAAGUGUGCCACGUGUGGCAUAUUGCAGGUACCGUGUGAAUAAGGACCGGCUAAUUCCGUGCCAGCAGCCGCGGUAAU